UUAUCCUAGGUCUCUGGAUUUAUCUCACAGAUGGAUUCUCAGGGGAUGCAUUCUUCCUGGAACUUUGGAGGUAGUCUGUAGUUUUCUGCUGUUCUCAUCCAGCAGAGCUGAAGGUGCUCAGACUGGGUAUAUGUCCAAGUCUCAGCCGAGACUAGGUCCUUGCUGUCUUCCCUAUGCAGGGG